AUUGAACGCUGGCGGCAGGCCUAACACAUGCAAGUCGAGCGGUUGACGGGAGCUUGCUCCCUAAUUCAGCGGCGGACGGGUGAGUAAUGCCUAGGAAUCUGCCUAUUAGUGGGGGACAACGUUUCGAAAGGAACGCUAAUACCGCAUACGUCCUACGGGAGAAAGCAGGGGACCUUCGGGCCUUGCGCUAAUAGAUGAGCCUAGGUCGGAUUAGCUUGUUGGUGAGGUAAUGGCUCACCAAGGCGACGAUCCGUAACUGGUCUGAGAGGAUGAUCAGUCACACUGGAACUGAGACACGGUCCAGACUCCUACGGGAGGCAGCAGUGGGGAAUAUUGGACAAUGGGCGAAAGCCUGAUCCAGCCAUGCCGCGUGUGUGAAGAAGGUCUUCGGAUUGUAAAGCACUUUAAGUUGGGAGGAAGGGUUGUAGAUUAAUACUCUGCAAUUUUGACGUUACCGACAGAAUAAGCACCGGCUAACUCUGUGCCAGCAGCCGCCGUAAAAC
rnacentral:rRNA from 1 species